CCUACGGGAGGCAGCAGUGAGGAAUAUUGGUCAAUGGCCGUAAGGCUGAACCAGCCAAGUCGCGUGAAGGAAGAAGGCUCUAUGGGUUGUAAACUUCUUUUAUAGGGGAAUAAAGGUAUCCACGUGUGGAUAUUUGCAUGUACCCUAUGAAUAAGGAUCGGCUAACUCCGUGCCAGCAGCCGCGGUAAUACGGAGGAUUCGAGCGUUAUCCGGAUUUAUUGGGUUUAAAGGGUGCGUAGGUGGUUUUUUAAGUCAGUGGUGAAAGUUUGUGGCUCAACCAUAAAAUUGCCGUUGAAACUGGCAGACUUGAGUGUAUUUGAGGUAGGCGGAAUGCGUGGUGUAGCGGUGAAAUGCAUAGAUAUCACGCAGAACUCCGAUUGCGAAGGCAGCUUACUAAGCUAUAACUGACACUGAUGCACGAAAGCGUGGGGAUCAAACAGGAUUAGAUACCCUUGUAGUC
rnacentral:rRNA from 1 species